rnacentral:lncRNA from 1 species
AAAUGGUGCAGAGCCUAUGCGCCAGAGGCAUUUAAUGUGUCAGUCACCACCAACAAUGGAGUUGAAACCAUGAAUAAAAAUCUGAAGGCAUUCUACCUGAAAAUCUCAGGUACUGGGAUUCUCUCUUCUCUACUGGGAACAGUUGUUCGAGAAUUUAUUCCUGACAAAAUGAAAGGCUACGAGCGGCUGAAUUACAAUCAAUCCACAAGCCACAAGAGCUACAAUGAGGAUGUACCAGAGCACCUCAAAAACCGACCAAGAGAUGUGGUCCUCCACUGCUUGAGAAGCAUCAGUUCUGCUUCCCAUUUCACUGCUCAAGAUGUUGUGGAUAAAGGUGAUGGUACAUGCCUAGUCACAAGUGAGCAAUCUCCCCUCUUUUACUCCGUCAACCUUAGAGGGCCGUUGUGUGAGUGUGGUGCAUUUCAAGAUUCUUACCUACCAUGCAAGCACAUGAUUGCCAUUUUUAAUUUCACCAACUACUCAUGGGAUUUUCUCCCUUCAACGUACACAAUGUCGCCAUAUCUUACCCUCGAUACCUUCGAGGAUGGAGGAGGAGAGAGGAUGCUGGAUGGAGGAGAGAGGAUGCUGGAUGGAGGAGGAGGGGGAGAGAGGAUGCUAGAUGGAGGAGGGGAGAGGAUGCUGGAUGGAGGAGGGGAGAGGAUGCUGGAUGGAGGAGGAGAGAGGAUGCUGGAUGGAGGAGGAGGAGAGAGGAUGCUAGAUGGAGGAGGGGAGAGGAUGCUAGAUGGAGGAGGAGGAGAGAGGAUCUUGGAUGGAGGAGGAGAGAGGAUGCUGGAUGGAGGAGGAGGAGAGAGGAUGCUAGAUGGAGGAGGAGGAGAGAGGAUCCUGGAUGGAGGAGGAGAGAGGAUGCUAGAUGGAGGAGGAGGAGAGAGGAUGCUAGAUGGAGGAGGAGGAGAGAGGAUGCUAGAUGGAGGAGGGGAGAGGAUGCUGGAUGGAGGAGGAGGAGAGAGGAUCCUGGAUGGAGGAGGAGAGAGGAUGCUGGAUGGAGGAGGGGAGAGGAUGCUGGAUGGAGGAGGAGGAGAGAGGAUCCUGGAUGGAGGAGGAGAGAGGAUGCUGGAUGGAGGAGGGGAGAGGAUGCUGGAUGGAGGAGGAGGAGAGAGGAUGCUAGAUGGAGGAGGGGAGAGGAUGCUGGAUGGAGGAGGAGAGAGGAUGCUGGAUGGAGGAGGAGGAGAGAGGAUGCUAGAUGGAGGAGGGGAGAGGAUGCUAGAUGGAGGAGGAGGAGAGAGGAUCUUGGAUGGAGGAGGAGAGAGGAUGCUGGAUGGAGGAGGAGGAGAGAGGAUGCUAGAUGGAGGAGGAGGAGAGAGGAUCCUGGAUGGAGGAGGAGAGAGGAUGCUAGAGGAGGAGGAGGAGAGAGGAUGCUAGAUGGAGGAGGAGGAGAGAGGAUGCUAGAUGGAGGAGGGGAGAGGAUGCUGGAUGGAGGAGGAGGAGAGAGGAUCCUGGAUGGAGGAGGAGAGAGGAUGCUGGAUGGAGGAGGGGAGAGGAUGCUGGAUGGAGGAGGAGGAGAGAGGAUACUGGAUGGAGGAGGAGAGAGGAUGCUGGAUGGAGGAGGGGAGAGGAUGCUGGAUGGAGGAGGAGGAGAGAGGAUGCUAGAUGGAGGAGGGGAGAGGAUGCUGGAUGGAGGAGGAGGAGAGAGGAUCCUGGAUGGAGGAGGAGAGAGGAUGCUGGAUGGUGGAUGCAGAGGAGAAAUCAUGGUAGACAGAUUAAGGAUCAAAUCGGCACAGGUUGCAAUGAGAGAAAAACUGAAGAAGUUAACGGAUGACUCGUAUUUGUGUGAUGAUUUGGAGACUUUACAACAAAUGACUGUAGCUCUGGAAAAUAUGACACAAACAAUUGAACAACUGUGCAAGAGAGAGAAUGGACUGAUUCUUAAUAAACUGGAUGACAUUGUUAUGUAUAAAAAACAUGAUCUUAGGGCACUGCCAGUUCGAAAGCACAAAUCAAAACUGUCCAGAAAACGAAAAUGGACCCAAGCUCCCUUGUCGCCCCUAAUCGAACAUUGCGAGGAGGAGACACUGGGCCACAGCUCUUCUGCUGUCCUGCACGGAGCUCGGCAAAAAAAUCCCUAGCUAACCCUAAAUAUUUAUAUUAAACCAUUUUGCAACAGGCAACUGUGUGUUGGUGUGUCUUAUUGCUUCCCACGUCUGCGUCUGCAUCUUUCCCACUCCUGGCUAAUAGUUUCAGCUUUUGUACUGUAUAUCAAGAAAUGAUCACCCUGUACCACACGGCUGACUUGCUGAUGAUUUGUGAGCACUCACGCAUUUCUCUAGGUAUCUUAAGUUUCCUACUGGAGUCAUCAAAACUUUGGACUUUGUGUUAUUGUAAGAAAUAUUGUGUUGCAAAAACUAGAAAUUGUAAAGACAGUGAUGUGUGUACAUUGUGCGAGUAUCCUCACUCGCGAUGUGUGUGCAGUCCAAAAUGAAAGAAAAAACCUUGCAUCACUUGGGAAUCGAACCCCCAAUCAGCAGUCUUUAAACGUUGGUCGUUGGUAACUGUAAACAAAGAGAUCGCAUUUUUUUUAACUGCUAACUAACAAACGGAUUUAUGCGUUCACUGAACAAAGAUUAUGGAAAUAAAAGACCACUUUUCCAUCAGAAAAAUCAUCAGAACCGUUAUUACCAACCCAUAGACGCUAUCAUCAGAACCGCUAUUACCAACCCAUAGACGCUAAAAGCGAAAACCUUUCUCACAUGCACACCCAUCGCGAGUGACGGCUAUGCGCACACAAAGAGAUCGCAUUUUUUUUAACUGCUAACUAACAAACGGAUUUAUGCGUUCACUGAACAAAGAUUAUGGAAAUAAAAGACCACUUUUCCAUCAGAAAAAUCAUCAGAACCGUUAUUACCAACCCAUAGACGCUAUCAUCAAGCGAAAACCUUUCUCACAUGCACACCCAUCGCGAGUGACGGCUAUGCGCACACAUGCACACCCAUAGCGAGUGACGUAGGACGUAAAGUCCCGGUAAGUCCCGCCCAGGUCGAAGUGGCGUC